AUUGAACGCUGGCGGCAGGCCUAACACAUGCAAGUCGAGCGGAUGAAGGGAGCUUGCUCCUGGAUUCAGCGGCGGACGGGUGAGUAAUGCCUAGGAAUCUGCCUGGUAGUGGGGGAUAACGUCCGGAAACGGGCGCUAAUACCGCAUACGUCCUGAGGGAGAAAGUGGGGGAUCUUCGGACCUCACGCUAUCAGAUGAGCCUAGGUCGGAUUAGCUAGUUGGUGGGGUAAAGGCCUACCAAGGCGACGAUCCGUAACUGGUCGGAGAGGAUGAUCAGUCACACUGGAACUGAGACACGGACCAGACGCCUACGGGAGGCAGCAGUGGGGAAUAUUGGACAAUGGGCGAAAGCCUGAUCCAGCCAUGCCGCGUGUGUGAAGAAGGUCUUCGGAUUGUAAAGCACUUUAAGUUGGGAGGAAGGGCAGUAAGUUAAUACCUUGCUGUUUUGACGUUACCAACAGAAUAAGCACCGGCUAACUUCGUG
rnacentral:rRNA from 1 species